GGAUCAGUGAUGAAUUAGAUGUUGAAGGAGCGUCGCAAGAUCAGUGAUGAAUUAGAUGUUGAAGGAGCGUCGCAGGACCAGACGGGUCGUCGCUGGAUCAAGCAGAAGCUGGUUGAGUCUCGAAGAAGUUCGGGAAAAGUUGGAAGUCUUGCUGAGAACGAACUAUGGCGCCGAAAGAUGGGGAAGGAGAAACGUAAAGGCUUGCUCGCAGCGAAUGUGUGUUCGUGGUAGUCCUUGGAGAUAAAGAUAUAAGAUAAAGUAGUUUUCUCUAGUUUAUAUCUAAGUUUAUAUGCGUAAUUUUUUUUUCUUUUGUAUUGUGCAUGCUUUAUAAAAAGUAUAAAGACAGGUUACAGCGGCUUCUGCGCAUGUGCGAGCUUUGUUUACAUUUUUUGUUUUGAUCCGCAAUGAUUCUACAACAUGAAGUAUAACAUAUAUUCGCAAUGAUUUAUUAACAAAAAAAGAGAGGAGCGACGCUUCUUUC